ensembl:lncRNA
UGUCAGGGGUGUGGGUGGAAGGCAGGACUCAAAUGCAGACUUGCAGGAAAACAAAAGACUUUAAUAGUCAACAGGCAAAAGCAAAGGCCAAGGGGCAAAAACGCACACAGGAACCGUGGCAAAAAUACAGGCAGGGACCAAGAAACAUCCAGGAAGAUUGACAAGAAACAUCCAAGACGAAAGACAAUGACGCGACAAGUGACACAAGAGACACACGGCUUAAAUACACAAGGGAGGUGCAGGUGAUUGGACACAGGUGGAAACUAUUAGACGAUCACAGGGGAUGACGGGACAAGGCAGGAAGUGAAGUUACCCGGGGACACGAGUGGCAGAAAACUACAACAGGAAGUGAACCACACCGUGACAGCACUAAGUGCCAAUAUACAAAUACAAUAGAUUAUAUUUCUUCACUACUUGAUACUGGCCUGUGCACCUGUGCUUGGUAAUCCAAUCAUGUAAAUCCCAGGCCUAGUCCAUGUGUUGAAUGAAAUAUUUCAUCAACACUUUAUCAAUGUGUUUACUGUUGUUUUGUGGCCAAAAAUAUGACACGAUAGGUAGCCAACGCAAUGCAGAUCUCACCUCUCAGAACAGUUCUUUAAUCAGAGGUUGUAUAGAUAGAUACUUUAUUGAUCCCUCAAGAGGGACAUUUUGGUAUCACAGCAGCAUGUAAAGGGAAGAAAAUCGAAUAAAAAGAUACACAUUAUAUACAAUAUAAUAAGAUAGAAAUAUUAAAUUAUUAAAUUAAAUAAACUAAAACUGAAACAAAAGAAUAACCUUCCAAAAGAGACAAUAAUAAUAAUUUGUAAAAGCAGAAGAGGAAGAGGAAGCGCAGCAACAUCACAUCAGUACAGGGUUAUUAUUGUCAUUAUUUAGCCAGGGAUGAUUUAUUGUAAAGUGUUGCUGCACUGGGCAGGAAUGAUCUCCUGUAUCGGUCCUUGUGACAGCGGAGCUGAAGGAGUCUGUUGGAGAACGUGCUCCGCUGUCUGUUGUAUAUGGUUUAAGAAAAUGUAUUAUAAAAACUCAUCAGGAACUUGAAAGGCACACACAAAAGAGAGCAGAUCAGAAUGUGUGUAUGCAGCAAACAUUGCUAUAUUGUGUUAUUGAAUGAAUGAAAAACACAAGUAGUUGUGUUUGGAGGAAGGGAAAACAGAGCUGAACAACAGUUUCAGACUAAAACAAAAUGUAAACCAGCAGAUUCAAACACUACUUUGCACAUAUGAUUUUAAUUAUCAUUGUACUUACUGUUACUCGUGUGGCUUGUGCAACUGUUUACAAAUAUUUUAUCAUAUUAUAUUUAACAAUUUGUGUGUCUCACCCAAGGGCGGCACGGCGGCGUGGUGGUUAGCACUGUCGCCUCACAGCAACAAGGUCCUGGGUUCAAUUCCGCCCAGUGGCCUUUCUGUGUGGAGUCUGCAUGUUCUCCCCGUGUUUGCGUGGGUUCUCUCCGGGUUCUCCGGCUUCCUCCCACAGUCCAAAGACAUGCACUGGGAUCAGGUUAAUUGGGGACUUUAAAUUGCCCGUAGAUGUGUGAAUGUGAGUGUGAAUGGUUGUGUGUCUCUGUGUAGCCCUGCGAUUGGCUGGCGACCAAUCCAGGAUGUACCCUGUCUAUCGCCCGAAGUUGGCUGGGAUGGACUCCAGCCCCCCCGCGACCCUGCGUGCAGGAUAAGUGGUUUGACAAUGGAUGGAUGGAUGGAUGGUGUCUCACCCACAGGCUGGGAUGACAAAUAUCCUCUUUCCCCCUGGACGGCUGGAUUUUAUUUUGAGAAAACGUGUAGCUCCUCAUAAAAAAGCCCAGUUCCAUCAUUGCCCACACGUUUAAGAAACACAGCCUUUCCACAUCUGUGUUGAUGCUGUGGGUUAGC